rnacentral:lncRNA from 10 species
GCGCCCGAGGCCGCCCGCGUUCCGCGCCUGGCAGGUGGGACCUGCGCGCCGAGACUGCCCCGCGGGGAGGCCCGGCCCCGACGCUCGCUCGGGCAGCAGGUGUCCGGGCAGGGGGCGUCCUCGCAGGAGGAGGCGAGCUGGAGCGCGAGCUCCCUCAAGAACCCCAUUUCCUCCUCCCAGAGCCCCACCCAGCGACCUCAGCUGGGCCUCCUUCGGAUCCCGAGCCCUUAGCCUUUGGGGACCGAGGAGUUGGGGUAAGGGUUAGGGUCCCAAGAAGAGUGGCUUCUUCAGGUUGUCCUAAAUGUGCCCUAAGAGACCAGUGGGCGGGAACGCUCUAACCAGGGUUAUAAGGACUUUAAUUUCUUUAUUUUAUUU